rnacentral:pre_miRNA from 1 species
UUUAUACUCCCUCCGUCCCAAAAUUAUUGUCUUAGAUUUAUCUAAAUACCGAUGUAUCAAGUCACGUUUUAGUAUUAGAUACAUCCGUAUCUAAACAAAUUUAAGACAAGAAUUUUAAGACGGAGGGAGUACUAU